UCAAACUUGGUUAGGUUGUUGCUGGCUCCUUCGCGGGCAUGUGCACACCGACUCCAUUUUUCAACCCCUGUGCACCUUUUGUAGAUCUGAAUACUUCGAGUGCUGUUAACCACUAUACUCGGUCAGAGAAUUGCUGUGCGAAAGUCGGCUCUUCUUCUAGUUUGGGUCUAUGUUUUACAAUAACUCCUUUAGAAUGUAUCAGAAUGUUCAGAAUAGGCCCUUGUGCCUUUAAAAAUAUGUACAACUUUCAACAACGGAUCUCUUGGCUCUCGCAUCGAUGAAGAACGCAGC
rnacentral:misc_RNA from 1 species